rnacentral:rRNA from 1 species
UACAGAGGGUGCAAGCGUUAAUCGGAAUGACUGGGCGUAAAGGGCAUGUAGGUGGCUGUUUAAGUUGACUGUGAAAUUUCUGGGCUUAACCUGGGAGCUGCAGUCAAAACUGGAUGGCUAGAGUCUGGGAGAGGGAAGUGGAAUUUCCGGUGUAGCGGUGAAAUGCGUAGAUAUCGGAAAGAACAUCAAUGGCGAAGGCAACUUCCUGGCCUAAGACUGACACUGAGGUGCGAAAGCGUGGGGAGCAAACAGG